rnacentral:lncRNA from 1 species
ACGUGCGGAUAGGUCGAAGUAUUGCAAAGUAAUAUUCUAGAACCUACUGGCAUAUGGUUAUUGUGAUUCAUAUCUUUGACCCUAAUGCUCAAAGUGACCUAGGGUUUGAUUGUCAAUCCUAAUUUAGUCGAUCCUAUUAUAUUUCAACCUUUUAAAUUCAUCAUAUGGAUUAUCCUAGUCAAAGUUUUACUAAAUUAAAAUACACUGAUUCAUAUCUCCUACUAAUUCAGAGGGGUCAAUUUCUUCUUGACUCAC